UGUUAAAAGGACAGGAGCAUGAUGGGGAAAUGCAAGCUGUUUCCAGAAUGGAAAGAAUUGCAUUAUGCUGCUAAAACAACUUCGGCUCUUUAGCCGAUGGAUGCAUGGAUGGAGGCAUAGGAUGAUUGAUGAAGAAGUGGGACACUGAUGACCCGGCUCUCAGUACUUCAUCUCAAGCCGUGCUGUCUGGUGGAAGGAAUAACAGCAACAGCUCAGCCUGGCAUCACCAACCUAUGCUCCACAGCUCAUCCAAGGGUCAUAAACUUGUAUAACCUGGACUAAGGGAAGAUGGGGACGUAGGGUCAUGAAAACAUCUUGGCUUUAAACUCCUGGCUUGUGGACUGCUACAGUAACAGAAAUGAGCCCUCUAACUAAAGAAAAGGUUAUGAAAAGUGAUUCACA